UGUGGUGCAUUAGUGUUUUUGUGUUAAAAAAUCUCUUAAAAAUUUGUUCAGGGACUGCCUGUGUACCAUUGAACAUUUCAAGAAGAGUGCCAAUUGUGUCUUCAUAAACAAAUGAAGAGUUGGCCCACAGCGGACCCCACAUGUCAACUGCGUUGCUUAGAUGGGUUAAGCAGUGAACAUUAUAAGAUACAUAACAUUUUCCAUAAAGCUCUUGUACCUCGACAACAAAACGCGUAAGACAAGAGGAAGCAUGCAAAAGAUCAGCUUUUUGGAUAUUAUCCUGGAGGAGUGUGUAGAUGGAGAAGACAAGUAAUAGCCAGUGAUUAUAAUAAACCGGGGGUAAAACUGUUUUCAAAAGAAUGGGGGAAUAAAAGAAAAGAAAUGCCCUCCGUUCAGAUGCCUUCCAAUAGUGUCUCUCGGACAAUGACCUUGGACAUCUUUUGACUUCAUGUGGUGGGUGUAUGGUGAGGAGAGAAUUGUCAAUCUGUUGGAUUAUUUUCGGUUGCAAAUAGAAUGGCAAAGCAGAGUUUUUUUAAUCACACGAAAUACUGACAAAUUGUUUUGUUCAUAAUUUUGACGUUUUCAGACAACAGAGAGGAGUUAGUUUGCAAGAGGAGACAUUAUCUUGAUGGUGGAGACAAACUGUCGAGCCCGGAGGAGAAAGGGAAGGGGAAAAGGAAGAAACUGAAGAAUGGUAGAUAUUCUGGCGACGACGACGACGACGACGACGACGACGACGUAGUAUCGCUGGAUCCUCAGUUAAGUCAAUCUAAGAAGAAGAAGAAGAGAAAAAACACAGGUCUUAACGUCUUAAUGGAACUGGAAAAGCAAGGUCAUUCCAAAAGGACUUGUGGAGCGCUGCUCCUUCCAAAGCCCCCAGAAGUUCAUAAAUGAUCUCCUACAUGGGAUGUAUACCAGGGAAUAUAUGGCAGGCCAUUCAGUGACUGGCCAGUCAUCCAGCAGCUGCACAGAAGGAAAACCUGGCCUAGCCAAACAGGACCUUGUUGAAAUAACAAGUAGGUAUAUAGAAAUGAGAAAAGAUGUUGGUUGAGUGAUACCCUCAUUCUCAUGCUCAUCUUUCGUGUAUGCGUUUGUGUGUGUGUGUGUGUAUUCCCACAGAUGCUGCAAAGUUUAAGUUCACCUAUGUAACUGAUACGAACAUAAAAGCAUUUAUACGACAAAAGCUGAACAAUGCUGCCAAAUUUCAGAAACAAUAAA